ACCCGGGCUGCGGAGCGCGCACCCGGCGCAGUUUUUGGCUGCUGUUUCACCUGCAAGAACUAAAGCCUUGUUAAGUUUUUAACGCUACUGAUCUUGGUGAAUUGCCUUAAAAGCGGCGCUGAUCGUGUUCGCUUCCUGCCUGUACUGCUGAAAUAAUGUAGCGGAAAUGAUAGCCGAGCCCAAUACAGCCAGUAACCUUCCUAGCCAAAAUACAAGUCAACUGGCUUCAUGUCCUGGCCACCAUAGUUUAAAAGGAGGCCAUAGCAGCCAGCUACCAGUACUGGACCUGCUGCACAAGUGGGAUCCAGCUCAUCUGCUCAAACGUGACCUUUGGCAAAGCCUAUUGUUAGCACUGGGAAUGAUGAAAAGUGGCAUGAUUUCAUUACAGAUAAAUGUAUGGGCUUCAGAUCUCCCAGAAGAGAGAAUGCUGUCCAUGAUGAAACUGUGCCUGAAUCUACUGUGCAGAAUGGCAGCUGUGUGAGAAAUAGCAACCUGAAAACACCA
rnacentral:lncRNA from 1 species